GCCGCGUAACCUCACUCCGACCUAGUAAAGCGCGCCCGUUCGCGCUCGGCGACGCACUGCUGUGAUUUCGUUAAAAUCCUACGACGUUCGCGUUCGUCCAUCGUUCAUCGUCGUUGCGUCACAAUCAGUCGUUCGUGAAAUGAUGACGCGCGUCGAGAGAUUGGCACUGAACGCGAAUCGCGCCAUGCUGAAUCGAGUACUCGUGGUGCGCUCCGAGGAGUGACACGCUCGACGUCCAGUUGUUCUCGCGCUCGAACUCGCUUUUUUCAGGGAAAAGGAAGUUGUUUUGCGCUAACGUUCGUGGCGAUAUAGUCGAAGGAUCGAUAAAUUGAUAUUCUUCGUGCGCGCAACCCCAUUUGCGACUGCUCACGCAAUUACAUCGUACGUGUUCGACGCAUCGACGAAAUUUAAUCUCCGGAUUAUCUCGCGAGUGCACCGAUCGGACAUCGGUGAUUCUGAUCGUGCGAGGAUGCGCCGGCGUGCAGCGUGGACGAGCACGCAUGCUGCCGGGAAGCACGCGACGACAACGGGCCAGUAAAUCCGCGCCACGGAGUCGGUGACCUCUCGACCAAUAGCAGUCCAGAGGAGUGUGAUGUUUGAUGCUGCAGUGGUGUUUUAUGCGGCGACGACGAAAAGCCCGGACAAGCGAUCCAUUCGCUCAACACUGCCAAACCGAUCGCCGUAGCAACAAGCGAUUCGGGACUUGGGCGAUCUCGUCCGUCGCUCGUCAUGUUUUUUCGAUCGAUCGCGUUACGGUCGAUACGUAGAAACGAUCAUCGACUACCCGCAAUUUCGUCGAGCCGUACAGCAUGCUGGCGAACCGAUAAUCUCCGCCGAACGUCGUCCGCUGUAUGGUAGUGCGCGCCGCGGCGUCCUCUUCGAGCCGCGCCUGAAAAAGCGAGCGGGAGCGCGUCGUCGUCGUUAGUGCGCGAUGUGCCGUCGGCUGGACACUUCCGAUCUCGCGAUCUCGUGCGUCCACCGCGCCCGUGAGGCCCGUCGAUCGUGGAGAACGCCGCCGGCGAGGCCUUCGCCAUCGUCGCCGCCGUCGUCAUCGUCGUCGUCGUCGUCGUCGUCGUCGUCGUCGUCGUGGACGUCGUGGAUCACGGCCCCGAUUCUCAGGCCUCUCGUGCUGCGCUCCUCUCCGCGCCGCUUCGCGAGCUGAGGGCAGGCCGGAGGAUCCUGGGCGACGGCCGCACCGAUGAUGGGAUUUAUUAUGGGCUGCACAUGUUUCAAAGGUACCUCCCUGUCGCAUCUCUUUCAAGGUUCGUACCGCUUCAGGCUGAGCACUCACGGAGCGCACUCGAGCCGAAAACCUGCCGAUGACUGCACAGUGCGCGUGUAUGUGCGCGCGCUAUUUGGAUAGAUCGAUAAAGUGCGUAGGAGCGGAGAUAAGUGGAGGUGACAUUUUGCAGUACGCUUUUAAGAGGACACAUUUAUAAUUAACGUCAAACGUUCGAAAGAAACUGUUUUCUUUUGUUUUUUUCUUCUUUGCUCUAUAUAAAGACCGCUUGCUCUUUUAUUAAUUUGCAAAGUUUUCUUAGAUAAAUUGCAAAUGGGGGUGCAAAUUUGCAGCAGUGAAUUGAUACACACUUUUUUUUUAUUUUGUAGCGGAAUAAUGAAUUUUUAAUUAACGAGGCAUACGUAAUCUCUUGCUCCAUACAUUUCUCUUGUGGACGUCUUUAAAUAUUUUAAUAGAGUAUUUCAAACAUUAACAGAUUAUUUUAGUCACUAAACUGAGCAUUAAUUUGUCAUUUCGCCAGUGUCAAUAAUAGAACAGUUUGAAUUUAUAACGAUAUGGAAUAUUUAAUAACAUAGAUAAUGUAUCUUUGCAUUAAAAAUGUUAUGUGCAAAUCACAAAUACGAUACAUCAAUUAUAGUUCUGGCAUAAUUAUUGCAAAAUGACAUCGCUGUGUCUCUAUUUCUACACAUGCUAUCAAUAUCCAAAUUCGGCAUUGCCGGUGGACUUCGACAAUUCAAUUUUCGAUACGCGUACGACUACAACAUAUAUGUAAUUAAUUGGAAAGGUGCGUGAAACGAAGCAAAGAUCAGAUUUGUCCGGUCUAAAAAGAUAAUGAUCCAAAUACGUCCAUUGUCCUCGGUCGGCACACUAAUUACGAAAAGUUCUUUGCCGCUGAACAAACACGCGAGAAACGUGGAAUCAAGUUAACAAGAAGUUUCUACAAUCUUUAAUGACAUUUUCCCCGCGCAUUAAUUCGCCGAUAACGAAGCUCGUUAGACCGCAAUCGCAAUCGGCGAAGUAUAUUCUCUCGCAGAACUUGCUCGGCGCUACGUCUGCUAAAAUUUACAUACGUUCAUCUGGCUCGAUAAUCAAUAUUGCGUUCCGACAAAACAUUAUAUAUGUACAAGUUCGUUGACUAUACGCUGUCACUCGACGGAUGGAUGGUGGAGAUCGAAAAUCACAAACAGCGUUAUUUCUCGUACCCUCCACACACCUACGCACAUACACACACGAGCGCACAUCCGUACGGCCGACAUUGUUGAGUCGCGGGCCGAAACUAUCGAAAGCUCGUAGCGGUCGCGCGCUUCGCGACGCGUAACUGUCACCGCCACAAGGCGCGCGGUUCGCAUUCACUUCGCGUAUAGACACAUGGACACGUGUA
rnacentral:lncRNA from 1 species